UUCUGAGUCCGUGUAGCCAGAGUGCU
rnacentral:sRNA from 1 species